GUAAAGUACCAUUUGACUCGAAAUAAUGAAACCUUCAUAGCUAAUUGGUAGCUUAAGGUGACUACAAUCAAAGAAAAUGGUUGACUUUGAAGAAACCAUCUUUGAGAUAGUCUUAGUUUCAAUUAAUUCGAAGAUUGCUAGCUACAACUAAAUGGUGAUUCAAUGUUUUGGACCAUUAUUAAGAUAGUCUUGAUAAUAUAUGUCUAAAACUAUGAAUCACAAGACAUGUAAGUUGUAGAGAUCCAUCCAUCAUGGAUCUUAGCAAGCUAGUGGGAGCUAUUUGCAUCUUAUGAGAAAAAGAUCAAAUCGUUUGAUUGCUUAUAAAGAUGUAAAUAAAUCUUUUGUUUACUAGGUUUACAAAAGAUUAGUGGGAGUUAAUCAUGUUCCUAAAAUUUAAAAUAUAUAUGAUAUAUUAAUUUUGGAAAUGAAAUGAAUUCUUCUUUGUUAAAGUUAUGACUUUAAGCAUUCUAUAAACGAUAGAAUGUAUAUGGAGGAUAUAGUCUAUAUACAUGGGAAUGAAAUCUAUAUUGAUAGAUUUUAGGAUAUAAUUGGAUUAUAUCAAUCCCUAAUAAUAGACA
rnacentral:lncRNA from 1 species